rnacentral:rRNA from 1 species
AGAAUGAACGCUGGCGGCGUGCUUAACACAUGCAAGUCGAGCGAGGCGGAAGGGGGCAACUCCUUCCAGUCGAGCGGCGGACGGGUGAGUAACACGUGGGUAACCUGCCCGGAAGUGGGGAAUACCGUCGGGGAAACUCGAGCUAAUACCGCAUGACAUCUUCGGGACGACAGUCCUGAUGAUCAAAGGCGGGGUCGCGAAGAUCUCGCGCUACCGGAUCGGGCCCGCGCCCGUAUUAGCUAGUUGGUGAGGUAACGGCUCAACCGAGGCUUCGAUCC